CUUCAGCAUCCUGGUGCUGCUGUACUGUGGAGCCUGUGCGAUCCAUUAGCCAAGAUGCCUGAGGAAACCCAGACCCAAGACCAACUGGUAGAGGAGGAGGAGGUUGAGAUGUUUGCCUUUCAAGCAGAAAUUGCCCAGUUGAUGUCAUUGAUCAUCAAUACUUUCUACUUGAACAAAGAGAUCUUUCUGAGAGAGCUCAUUUCAAACUCUUCAGAUGCUUUGGACAAAAUCAGAUAUGAAAGUUUGACAGAUCCCAGUAAACUAAACUCUAGGAAAGAGUUGCACAUUAAUCUCAUACCAAACAAACAAGAUCGAACCCUUACUAUUGUGGAUACUGGCAUUGGAAUGACCAAGGCUGACUUGAUCAGUAACCUUGGUACUAUGGCCACUUCUGGAACCAAAGCAUUCAUGGAAGCGCUGCAGGCUGGUGCAGGUAUAUCUAUGAUUGGCCAGUUUGGUGUUGGUUUUUAUUCUGCAUAUUUGGUUGCCAAGAAAGUAACUGUGAUCACCAAACACAACGAUGAUGAGCAGUAUGCCUGGGAGUCCUCUGCAGGAGGAUCAUUCGCAGUGAGGACCGACACUGGUGAACCUAUGGGUCAUGGAACAAAGGUUAUUCUCCAUCUAAAAGAAGACCAAACUGAGUACUUGGAAGAAAGAAGAAGAAAGGAGACUGUGAAGAAACAUUCUCAGUUCAUUGGCUAUCCCAUUACUCUCUUUGUGGAGAAAGAACGUGGUAAAGAAGUCAGUGAUGAUGAGGUGGAAGAAAAGGAAGACCAGGAGGAGAAAGAAAACGGAGAAAAGGAGUCUGAUGACAAAUCUGAAAUAGAAGAUGUUGGUUCUGAUGAAGAAGAGGAGAAGAGAGAUGGUGGCAAGAAGAAGAAGAUUAAGGACAAAUACAUUGAUCACGAAGAGCUCAACAAAACAAAGCCUAUUUGGACCAGAAAUCCUGAUGAUAUAACUAAUGAGGAGUAUGGAGAAUUCUGCAAGAGCUUGGCCAGUGACUGGGAAGAUCACUUGGCAGUGAAGCACUUUUCAGUAGACAGACAGUUAGAAUUCAGAGCUCUGCUUUUUGUCCCAAGAUGUGCUCCUUUUGACCUAUUUGAAAACAGAAAGAAAAAGAACAACAUUAAGUUGUAUGUCCGCAGAGUUUUUAUCAUGGAUAACUGUGAGGAGCUAAUCCCUGAAUAUUUGAAUUUUAUUACAGGAGUGGUGGACUCUGAGGAUCUCCCUCUAAAUAUUUCCGAUGAGAUGUUGCAGCAAAGCAAAAUUUUGAAAGUUAUCAGAAAGAAUUUGGUCAAAAGUGCUUAGAGCUCUUUACUGAACUGGCAGAAGAUAAGGAGAACUACAAAAGUCUUAUGAGCAAUUCUCUAAAAACACAAAGCUUGGAAUACGUAAAGAUUCUCAAAAUCGGAAGAAGCUUUCAGAGCUAUUGUGAUACUACACUUCUGCUUCAGGUGAUGAGAUGGUUUCUCUGAAGGACUACUGCACCAGAGUGAAGGAAAACCAGAAACAUAUCUACUGUAUCACAGGUGAGACCAAGGACCAGGUAGCUAACUCAGCCUUCAUGGAACGUCUUCAGAAUCAUGGCUUAGAAGUGACAUAUAUGAUCGAGCCGAUUGAUGAGUACUGUGUCCGACAGCUGAAAGAAUUUGAGGGGAAAACUUUGUGUCAGUCAUCAAACAGGGCUUGGAACUUCCAGAAGAUGAAGAGGAGAAAAAGAAACAGGAAGAGAAGAAAACAAAGUUUGAAAACCUCUGCAAAAUCAUGAAAGAUAUCUUGGAGAAAAAAGUUGAAAAGGUGGUUGUGUCAACCGAUUGGUGACAUCCCCGUGCUGUAUUGUCCAAUAUGGUUGGUCAGCAAACAUGGAAAGAAUCAUGAAAGCUCAAGCCCUGAGAGACAACUCAACAAUGGGUUACAUGGCAGCAAAGAAACACUUGGAGAUAAAUCCUGACCAUUCCAUCAUCGAGACCUUCAGGCAAAAGGCAGAGGCUGACAAGAACGACAAGUCAGUGAAGGAUCUGGUCGUCUUGCUCUACGAAACUGCUGUCUUCUGGCUUCAGUCUGGAAGAUCCCCAGACACAUGCUAACAGGAUCUACAUGAUGAUCAAACUUAGUCUGGGUAUUGAUGAAGAUGACCCUACUGCUGACGAUACCAGUGCUGCUGUAACUGAAGAGAUGCCACCUCUUGGAGGAGAUGAUGACACAUCACGCGUGGAAGAAGCAGAUUAAGCUUUCCCUGACAGA